rnacentral:rRNA from 1 species
GUGCUAAGGUAGCAUAAUCAUUUGCCUUUUAAUUAAAGGCUAGAACAAAAGAUUUAACAUUUUAAUAAAUUUAUUUAUUCUAAAUUUUAAAUUUAUCCUAAAUGUAAAAAGACAUUUAUUCAAAAGAAAGACGAUAAGACCCUAUUGAACUUAACUUUAGUUAAACUGGGGAAGUAAAUUAAUUAUUAUUUUAAUUAAAAUAAAUUUAAUGUGAUCUAACUAAUUAAUAAAUCAGUUACCAUAGGGAUAACAGCGUAAUAAAAAUCUUAAGCCCUUAUAACAAUAUAUGUUUACGACCUCGAUGUUGAAUUAAUAACCUAAAUUUUGCAAAAGAAAAAUAAGGUGGUCUGUUCGACCAUUAAACAAUUACAUGAUUUGAGUUCAGACCGGUGAAAGCCAGGUCGGUUUCUAUCUUCUUUAAAUAUUAUACAGUACGAAAGGACCCAUAAUUAUUAUUAUAUAAUAAUAUGGCAGAUAAUGCAUUAGAAUUAGAAUCUAAUUAAUUCAUCAUAAAAUUA